GCCGAAGUGGCGGAACGGCAGACGCGCUACGUUCAGGACGUAGUGCCCGCAAGGGCGUGUGGGUUCAAAUCCCUCCUUCGGCACCA
rnacentral:tRNA from 1 species